rnacentral:rRNA from 1 species
UGGAGGGGGAUAUACAGAGAGAAAUCACUGCUAAUACCGCAUAAGCACACAGUACCGCAUGGUACAGGGUGAAAAGAUUUAUCGCCAUAAGAUGGACCCGCGUCUGAUUAGCCAGUUGGCAGGGUAAAAGCCUACCAAAGCAACGAUCAGUAGCCGAUCUGAGAGGAUGACCGGCCACAUUGGGACUGAGACACGGCCCAAACUCCUACGGGAGGCAGCAGUGGGGAAUAUUGCACAAUGGGGGAAACCCUGAUGCAGCGACGCCGCGUGAGUGAAGAAGUAUUUCGGUAUGUAAAGCUCUAUCAGCAGGGAAGAUAAUGAC